UACGAAGGUGGCAAGCGUUACUCGGAAUUACUAGGCGUAAAGGGCAGGUAGGUGGUUUGGUAAGUCUGUUGUGUAAGCUCCCGGCUUAACUGGGAGAGGUCAACGGAAACUACCAGACUUGAGUAUAGGAGAGGUUACUGGAAUUCCCGGUGUAGCGGUGAAAUGCGCAGAGAUCGGGAGGAACACCAAUGGCGAAAGCAGGUAACUGGACUAUUACUGACACUCAGCUGCGAAAGCUAGGGGAGCAAACAGG
rnacentral:rRNA from 1 species